rnacentral:rRNA from 1 species
GUCGUGAGACAGGUUAGUUUUACCCUACUGGUGGCAUUUAUGCUGUUGAUAUGGCAUACCUGUGCAGUACGAGAGGAACCACAGGUACAAACCAAUGGCACAAUACUUGUCCGAGCGGACAUUGGUAUGAAGCUACGUUUGCCGGAUUAUGCCUGAACGCCUCUAAGGUCGUAGCCGUGCCAGAACAACAGUUCAUUUAAAGGCUCUUAUACACAUUGUAUUGGUUAUAAUGGACGGGUACAUAUUUAUUCUCGUAAUAUUUUUGUACUC